rnacentral:lncRNA from 1 species
ACUUUGCUUUAUCACUCCGCAAAUAUGCUCCUAUUAAAAAAAAAAAAAAGCAGCUUUUCAGUGUUUGAUGUGUAUUUUAUUAAUUCCCUAGGCCCCACUCAUUUGCUAGAUGUUCUUUUCCUUUGAUCUCUUGGUAGCAGUGUUCAUUUAGGAGAUGUGUUUAUCUGAGCGGGCCUCAAUAUCCUAUCAGGGAAUUUGAAUAAAUAUAGUUAUUUCUUAUUUUCUAACACAGAGCAGCUGAGGGGUUUUAGAAAUCGAAAAGCAUGGAAGAAAUUGAAUUCUAGGCUGUCUUUUAAUAGGUAGGACCUUUGCAGUAAGGUCAAUAAAUCCAGAUAUGCUAAUAAAAUGUUAAUAAUAACUACAAUUAGAACUUCAGCUGACUUUAUUUUUUUUAAUUAACAGGACUUUUUCACUUAACUUAUGAAUAUUUCACUUUUACUGGAGAAUUUUUGGCUUUGCUGAUAUAGCUUUUGUGCAAACUACCUUUUUUGGGUCAAAGAACAGGGAUGUCACACCACAUCUAUUUAAAACACAACCACUGUUCAUCAGUCAACUGAUGCUUGGCAGAUGAAAUAUUCCAUUCAUUAAUAGUAGGAAAAAACUGAGAUGGGUCACUUUGGAACACAGUGACGUCGGAUAACUUAGCCAGAACUUAUUGAUGACUGCAUGUUCAAUGGACUCAAGAAGGUAAUGGGAGAUGCAAGAAUGUACUCUUUUGAAGGAACAGAAGAGGAGGCAUUUCAAAGAUCCUGCAGGUGACUGAGAUUGACACACAGGUUGAAUUCAGAAGUACAAGAAAAGAGCUCUGCCUGUGGAAGGAGCCUGCGGUCCAAAGGGUUUGCUCUAAACUAUUGUGAGACCUCCGGCUACAACACAGGACAUGGGAGCUUUUCUGAACCCUCGUGUCUUGUGUUGCAGCCAGAGGGGCGCAUCUUUUCAACCAACUCUGAGACAUGCAGAAGAAACCAACAUGGAAGAGGUGUAAAGAGAGAGUGAGAGACUGAUACAGGCAUGGGACUUCACUGAACAUCUGAGAGGAGCAGACUCAGGAAUGUGAUCCUUGGCUUUAGUCUUUGAAGCUUUCUCCCAGAGCCAGAGGAGAUGUC